AUGCACCCCUCGUACACUGCGCUUCCGAGUGCGCUGCCCGCGCUCGCCUGAUGCUUGUUCGCAACGUGGCGCGAGCC
rnacentral:sRNA from 1 species